UACAGAGGAUGCAAGCGUUAUCCGGAAUGAUUGGGCGUAAAGCGUCUGUAGGUGGCUUUUUAAGUCCGCCGUCAAAUCCCAGGGCUCAACUCUGGACAGGCGGUGGAAACUACCAAGCUCGAGUACGGUAGGGGCAGAGGGGAUUUCCGGUGGAGCGGUGAAAUGCGUAGAGAUCGGAAAGAACACCAACGGCGAAAGCACUCUGCUGGGCCGGCACUGACGCUGAGACGCGAAAGCGUGGGGAGCAAACAGG
rnacentral:rRNA from 1 species